rnacentral:sRNA from 1 species
UAAAUACCCAUUUGCACUGCACUACUGU